rnacentral:lncRNA from 1 species
GUGCGGUAGGCCGCACAAGGGAGUCUGUCUAGUAGGGACAACAACAUGUUUCAGGUGCGGACAGGAGGGGCACAUAGCACGUGAGUGUUCCACCGCGACUUUGAUAACACAGUCCCAGCAGACAGCCUCAGAUAGAGUGGCUCAGCCAGGAGCUCUAGCCAUGGCGCUGGGCAGAGGCAGAGGGAGCGAGAUUACUCCUUC